UACGUAGGUGGCAAGCGUUGUCCGGAUUUACUGGGCGUAAAGGGCGUGCAGGCGGUUUGUUAAGUCUAGGGUGAAAGCUCCCGGCUCAACUGGGAGAGGUCCUUGGAUACUGGCAGACUUGAGGAGAGUAGAGGAGAGUGGAAUUCCCGGUGUAGUGGUGAUAUGCGUAGAUAUCGGGAGGAACACCAGUGGCGAAGGCGGCUCUCUGGGCUCUACCUGACGCUGAGGUGCGAAAGCGUGGGGAGCAAACAGG
rnacentral:rRNA from 1 species